GGUUCCAUAGAGUAGUGGUUAGCACAUCUGCUUUACACACAGAAAGUCCUGGGUUCGAACCCCAGCAGAGCCA
rnacentral:tRNA from 1 species